rnacentral:sRNA from 1 species
AACAAUGUCACUCACGUAAUUAUGUAUCGAUAUUUUAACAAAGUACUAGGUAGAUAAUGAUAUACAAGAUAUGGUACUAGGUAAACAAGUUUAACUCUGAUUUAAGUAGAGUUUGGUAUCGAUAGAGUAACCAGCUACAACAACUUUCUCGUCAUCCGUAAGCAUGUUUCUGAAACUGUUAAAUGGUAUUGUUUUGUGCAAAAUUUUUCUAUAGAGAAGUUUUUAAAAAUAUAAAUAAAUAUAAUUUCAAAUUUAUAGUAAUUAAUAUUCGAUUAAUUAUGUGCUAAUGGUUUAUCUCAUUUCACAUGCCAUCAAAAUUCAAGCCCAACACCACAUCCGAACUCAGCCUUAUUAAUAUGAUAUUUGUAUCGUGUACACUGUUGGAUUCAUACAUUACAGGGCACUAAAAUAUAGGUAAACUAACCAUCGGUUUUUUUAUCAAACUAAUAAUAUGCCUUUGCUUUACGAUGGGCAAGAUCUUAUAAUUGAGAAUUUGUAGUUGGGUGAAUUGAAGAUAAAACAAGGGCUAAACCUAUAUAAUUAGGGAUUGGUCGGGUUGGGUGGAUUGAGUAAGGAGUGCAUGAACUCCUGCAUACAUGAGAAGGAGAAGGAAGUAGGAUGACUGCAUUUUUAAAAGAGAAACUAAUCUCCGUCUCAAAAUAUAAUAACUUAUAGUAUUCAAAAUUUGUUUCAAAAUAUAACAACUUUUUUAUCUACAUUCUCUUCUUGACUAAUCACAAUAUUCCACCUUUUAAUUUAUUCACCUACUUUCUCUUCUCAACCAAUUACAACCUUUCCUAUCUAAUUUCAAGAACUUUCUUAAUACUUGUUUUCAGCGCUAAAACUUCUUAUAUUGAUGAAGUAGCUUUCCGGUUAAUCUGGCUAACGCACAUAACUAACAUAUAGGGAAGAUAGGGGAGUUGGUAGUGAAUAUAGGCUAAACUUAAACAAACACAAGAUAUAGCACUAAUGGAAGCAAAAGGCUCAGGUAUCAUGAAAAGAGGAUUCACAAUGGUCUCCAAAUAACGAUGUAAGUAUACACAUUAACUAAAUGGUGGAGGGCAGGGGUUCGUCUUUCUUAGGUACGUUAAGAGUUGAAACAAAAUUAGGUAAGUAUACACCCUUGAUUUUUCACAUAAAGCUUAAAAUAAAAUAAAAUGAAUGGUUAAACUUUAUGCGAAAAGUCAGCCAUGUAAUAUGUUUUAGAACGGGGGAGUAUAAAAUAGCAGCCCCUAUUUAGGCUGUGUUCGGCUGGCACGGAAAACGAAACAGCGAUUAGCGCGUGAUUAAUUAAGUAUUUGCUAAUUUUUUUUUAAAAAUAGAUUAAUAUGAUUUUUUAGCAACUUUCUUAUAGAAAUUUUUUUAAAAAAAACACACUGUUUAGCAGUUUAAAAAGCGUGCUUGCGAAAAACGAGGGAGGAAAAUUGGGAACCAUGAUAGGUAUAGAACGCAGCCUUACUCACUGUAGCAAUAUAUAGCAAGACUCACAUCGGUAAUGCUGCAUCCAACUGCCUCGGACGGAAGUCACCAUGGUCGUGCCGUGCUCCCGCCGCCCCCGCCUGCUUUGCCGGGCCCUCCCUGCCCGACUGGUUCCCCCGCCGGCCGCCGCCGCCGCCGCUUGCAUCGCAAGCCUCCCGUCCCGACUCCUGCAGCCUAGUACACUGCCCUAGCCGAAUGAGCUGAUAGUAUUGGGCCAAGACAAGCUGUGGGGAAGAUGAGAGAUGGCCCAAGUGCCGAACUGGGCCACAUACGUGCCUACCGCUUCAGCCUUCCGCCCCCUUAUCAGCGUCGUUACUCUUCUUCUUCCCCGAGCAGCCAGCGCUGCCGUCACUGCUCUGCUAUGGUCAUGCUUGAAUUAUCUUUGCAAAAAUCGGCUGACGAAUCCGACCUGC